rnacentral:rRNA from 1 species
GAUGAACGCUGGCGGCGUGCCUAAUACAUGCAAGUCGAGCGAACAGACGAGGAGCUUGCUCCUCUGACGUUAGCGGCGGACGGGUGAGUAACACGUGGAUAACCUACCUAUAAGACUGGGAUAACUUCGGGAAACCGGAGCUAAUACCGGAUAAUAUAUUGAACCGCAUGGUUCAAUAGUGAAAGACGGUUUUGCUGUCACUUAUAGAUGGAUACGCGCCGCAUUAGCUAGUUGGUAAGGUAACGGCUUACCAAGGCAACGAUGCGUAGCCGACCUGAGAGGGUGAUCGGCCACACUGGAACUGAGACACGGUCCAGACUCCUACGGGAGGCAGCAGUAGGGAAUCUUCCGCAAUGGGCGAAAGCCUGACGGAGCAACGCCGCGUGAGUGAUGAAGGUCUUCGGAUCGUAAAACUCUGUUAUUAGUGAAGAACAAAUGUGUAAGUAACUAUGCACGUCUUGACGGUACCUAAUCAGAAAGCCACGGCUAACUACGUG